UCUCAGCAUACAACAAUUCACACUUGAACUAUUCCAAUAUCCAAAUCCAUGAUUAAAUUAUGUCCCUAACGCCUCCAUGUACUAUCUCAAUUUUUACAUGCAUUUCCUAAUCUUUUCAUACCAAUUUAUAACCUCUAGGUUUUUAUAUCAUUCUUUCCAACUUUACACAUUUAUAACAUUGUUGUGGCGAUACUCAUUGAUCAUGGGCCAUUCACCAAAUAAACAUGUCAUACGUUACGUCCAUCAUUCCCCAGCAACCACAUCAACAUGAACACAUUGCAUGCAUACAUGGUUAAUAAGGGUUACAACCCAAUAGUAAAAUAUGAGCCAUAUUUCAUAGCCAUAUACAAAAUAAUUCAUCAACCAUCAUAAAUCAUUAUACUUGGCUAAUUUAAAUGACACAUAUAACCAAAAGAUAAGUUACCAUAUACAUGCCAUUAUAUCAAAAUGAAUAGUUCUCUUAUACCCAAAAUGAGAAUGUUAAUAAUGUGAUCAAACUCCCACCGUCCUCCAACCUUUACGAGUCCAAGAGCUCUAUAAGACAGGGAAAAGUAAAAAAAGGGGUAAGUAUUACAUGUUUAGUAAGUUAGUAUAACGGAAAGUAAACUUAUCGGUCAUUUUAACACAUAAUCACAAUAAGCCAUGUUAUCCAUCAAUUAUAAAAAUUUUCCCUAAACACAUACACUCAAUGAACAAGUUAGUCACAUAAAUUUUCAAGAUCUAUAGAUGAGCUCAUCACAUCAUAUACAUAUUCAAAUUCGUAUUUCUCAUGUCAUGUACAAAUAUUUUAUCCAGUGAAUCCUCAAAUCCCUGAUGGAUAUUUCAUCACUUAAUACACUCCAUGUGUACUAUUUUAUUAACCAUCAAUUCAUAUCCAAUAGUACCUUAUCCGGUACACUCUUGAGCCAUAUCUCUUACAGCAGAAUUUCCAAUCCAGGCUAAAUUCUAGCUGUUCCAUGUACUCUAAGGGCUUUACCGGAUUACCAGUCUAGGCUAAAUCCUUUACAUGACAAAGAAUACCCUACAAAGUCUAAUCUGGAUUACCAGUCCAAGCUAAAUCCAGUCAACUAGGAUUACCAGUCCAGGCUAAAUCCUAAUUGAAACGUAUGCUCAAUAAGCUCGUUUAAGGAUUACCCGUCCAGGCUAAAUCCUUUCUAUAAUGAGAUCAAUGGAUUACCCGUCUGGGCGAAAUCCUUUCUACAACACAUCCAGGAUCCCAUUUUUCAUGAGAAGUGACCUAUCCUAUAACACCUCUUACCCGUACCCGAGAGACUAGGUACGAGGCGUUACCGCUCGCAAAUAAGAUCAUUCCAGAAAAACGGGUUAUAAAAUUUCAUUUCCAAUUUAAAACCAAUUAAAUAAAUUCAUAUUGUCCCUAUUAUGGACCUACGAGGCCUACAUCAUACAUUAUUAACGGUCCGGGACUAAACCAGGGACUAUAGAAAAUUUUAGACACGACCGUGUGUCUCAACCAUGUGGAGGACACGGUCUAAAAUUUCUCAAAAACCUAAAAUUUUAGGUGUAGGGGACACACGGCCAGGCAACAUGCCCAUGGGGGCUGACCGUGUGUCACACACGGUCUAGACACAUGCCCAUGUGUCUAUCCGUGUGGACCUUUUUAGGGUUAUUUUCCAAGCCUUUGAUCAACCUCUAACAACCAUACACACUUAUAGACUUCAAUGGUAUUUAACAUGGCCUAAUUAUACUCUUAAACAAUCUUGGCACAACUCAUUGCGUGUUAACCUCAUCUCAUCGGUUUAGUACAAGCUAAAUUAUCCUUUUCGCAUUAAGGAUUAACAUAGUACAUUUUACACUUUACACUUAGGCCAUAUUAUAGCCAUAUACCAUUACAUGUUAUAUCCACUCUCAAGUUAUUAGGUCCCAUUUCAUGCAUCCAUUCAUGAUAAACCUCAUUAUCAUAUCUCAUGAAACAUUUAAACAUAAACAUGCAUCAUUAGUAGGUUUACAACCUACAUCAAUAUGAGUCAUAUCUCAUGGCCAUAUACAAAAGAAUAAAUAUACCAUUUAAGCCCUUAUAUUGGCUAGCCAAAUGAUACAUAUAACAAAAUGACCAAAAACCAUAUACAUGCCAUUAAACAAAAUAAAAGUAUCUAUAUACCAAAGCGGGACAAGUCAAUAGUGUGUUGAUUCUCCAACCGUUUUCCAAUCUUCAAGAGUCCACAAGCUUGGUAGGACAGGAAAAAGAGAAGUGGUAAACAUUUAUAUGCUUAGUAAGUUCGGAUAACUGGAAAGUGAACUUACCGAUUAAUUAGCAUACAACCAUACUAGGCAAUGAUUCCAACAAGCAUGAAAUAGUUUCCCUAUCACAUGCACUCAAUCAUCAAGUUAGUCUCAUAACAAUGCAUCAUAUCAUUAGCCUUAGAUGAGCUCAUCAAUUCAAUAUUUCCAUCUCUAUUUCUCAUGUUAAUCCCGUUGAAUUUCUCAAAAACCUCGAUGGAUAGCCCAAUUACCUUCAAGUCAUACAAGUUAUCAUCUCAGGUAUGCACUCCCGCGAACCUUACAUCUUACGGCGAGAUUACCAGUCCAGGCUAAAUCCCCCAUAGUAAUACUCAUAGAGCAAUGUCAAGAUUACCAGUCCAAGCUAAAUCCCCUACAGCGACAUACUCCUAUGAGCUCAGACCUAAAUUGUCAAUCCAGGCUAAAUUCAAUCCUCAUUCGGAUUACCCAUCCGGGCGAAAUCCUUAAUGCACCCAUAUUCUUUGAGAGGCUCGAUAAAUCAAGGAACACCCGUCUGAGCUAAAUCCUUUCUAUUUUGAGAUCAUUAGAUUACUCGUCUAGGCUAAAUCCUUUUUUGCAACACAUGCAAGUUCUCAUGUCUUGUAAGCCAUAAUUUAUCCAUCAGAUUUCCUUUUUUAUUUCAACCGAGACAUUUAUCAUCUUUUUAUUUACGCUAGCACAUUUCAUGGAUUAUUAUGCAAUGAAUAUCUAAAUUUUCAUACAUUCAAGAACAUACAUUAUAAGUAUAUUAAGAGUUUACUUUGGGUUAUACGAACUUACUUGGUAGUCGUUGCGAAUUCAUGUCUCAAUUAUUCUAAAACCUUUCGUUUUCCACGGUCGACCUCCGAAAUUGGUUUCUCGAGGUCUAUAUCAAUAAAAUUAGAUUAUUAAUACAUCACAUUAUUCAUUUUAGGCCUAAAACUCAUCUCCGAAAAAAAUGACCAUUUUACCCCUAAUCUUUCACAAUAUUUACAAUUUAGUCCUAAGUCUUGCAUAAUGAAAUACAUGUAAUUCCUUGGCUACCCAAGCCUAGUCGAAUGUUAUUCAACUUAUAGCAGCCCAUGUUUUUCCUUCAUUCCAUAUUUUUCUACCCGCUUCCAUAACUUUUACAAUUUCAUCCUUUAAGCCAUUUCUAUGAAAAACCACUUGGUAAAAGUUGUUUACCAUCCUUUAAACUCUCAUAUUCCUUCAUAAAUCAUCAAAACACAAACAUCUCAUGCAUGGGUAAUUUUCUAAACAUGAACCCUAACAUGAUUUAUGGGUAAAAAUAGAAAGAGUUGUUACGAGGAUCUCAAAAAUACGAAGAGCAUUAAAAACGGGGCUAGGGAGCACUUACUAUAGAGCUUGAAAUGUUGAAAACCCUAGCUAUGGAGAGCAUGCAAAUUUUGGCAGCAUGAAGAAGAUGAAUGACAUGAUUUUGGCUUCUUUUUCCCUUUUUAUUCUUUAAUUAACCAAAUGACCAAAAUGUUCUUCCUUACUAAACUUUCAUAAUUUUUCAUGCAUUCCCAUUUUUGUCCAAAAACUUAAAAAUUGGAUAAAUUACUCUUUAAGGACCUCUAAUUAAUAUUCCAAAAAAAUUUCAUACAAAUUACUUCUAGAACCCAAGGUUUACUAUUCAUUCAAAUUGGUCCUUAAUUUCCAAUUAGAUACCUUACACAUAAAAUUUCUUUAUGAAACUUGAACACAUGCUUAUUCUCAUAUCCUAGACCUCAUAAUGAUCAUAAAAUAAUUAUUUUAACAUCGAAUUUGUGGUUUCGAAACCACUAUUCUGACUAGGCCUUAAUUCGGGAUGUUACAUAUCCAUCGGAAUUCCAUAUUCAAACAGAUUCUAACCCAUUUUUCAAUCAAUUUCAGAUUUAUAGACAUUUUCAUUCAAUUCACUAUUUAUGCAUUUCACAUUUAAUUUCAUACAACAAUUAAACCCAACAUGCAUAAACAUCCAAUUAGGUUACACGAACUUACCUGAAUGAUAUCUCGAGUUUGGAUUUCAACUAUUCCAAAACCUCUUGUUUUUCGUGAUCUACUUCCAAAAUUGGUACAGAUUAAAUUUUAAUUCAUCACAUUCUUCAAUUUCAUCCCAAAAACUUACUCUAUGGCAAAAUUACCUAUUUACCCCUAACUUUACACAUUUUUAUAUUUUAGUCCCUAGGCUCGUAUAAUGAAAUACAUGCAUUCCCUUGAUUUCUCAAGCCUAGCCAAAUUAUAUCCUAGCUUAUAACAGCCCACAUUUUCCUUUACUUCACUUUUCUGCUACCCACUUUUACAUCUUUCGCAACUUGAUCCUUUUUAGGUGUUUUCAUGGAAAACCACUUGACAACAGAUUUUUAUCUUACAUAAAACUUUCAUAUUCCUUCAUUAAACACCAAAAGACAAACAUGUCACACAUGGGUAAAUUUUUUAAACAUGAACCUUAGCUUAAAAUAAGGGUAGAAAUUGGCUAGAACAUGCUUCAAUGAUCUCAAAAAUAUAAAGAACAUCAAAAACGGGGCCAGGGAGCACUUACAAUCAAGCUUAAAAUGUUGAAAACCCUAGCUAUGGAGCCCCUUGAAUUUUCGGCACACCAUGUAGAAUAUGGACAACAUUUUUUCUUAUUUUUUCCCUUUUUAUUCUUUAAUUAACCAAAUGACCAAAAUGCCCCUAAGGCCUUUCUUUAAAAUUUUACCCAUGAAUGCCCAAUUUUGUCCACAUUUUUAGAACUUGGUUAAAUUACUAUUUGAGGACCUCUAAUUUAUAAUCCAACUCAAUUUCAUGCUAAAAGUUUUUAGAACUCAAGUUUUACAUAUUUUCCAAUUUGGUCCCUACUGUCAAAUUAAGCAUCUUAGGCAUAGAAUUUCUCCAUGAAAUUUCUACUCAAGCAUACCUUCUCAUCCUAGACCUCAUAAUAAUCAUGAAAUAAUUAUUUCUAUUUUGGAUAUGUGGUCUUGAAACUACUAUUCUGACUAGGCCCUAAAUUGGGAUGUUAUAACAACAUUCAAGCAAACAUAUUUACAUGUCCAAUUAAGUUACACGAACUUACCUCGACACAUGUUCGCGUUAGAAAUCUACUAAUCCAAAACCUUUUCUUUUCUUCGAUCUAACCUCGAAUUAGUGUUGUUCGGAUCUAUAUAAGUAAAUUUAAUCAUCAAUUUCAUACAUUCAUAUUUAAAUGGACUUAAUUUACAUCCUAGGCAAAAUUACCAUUUUGCCAUUAACUUUUCCAUAAAUUUCUAUUUCAUCUCUAGGCUCAAAAAAUGAAACUUGUGCAAUUUACUCCCUAUUUCAAGCCUAACCAAAAUCCCAUUACAAAUUUUACAGCACUUGUAUUCAUAAAAAUUUAAAAAUUUUCUUCAAUUUCACAAGUUUACAUUUUAGUCCCUAAAUCAUGUUUUCAUCAAAAAUUACUUUGUAAAAGUUAUUUAUCUAUCAACAACAUUUCAUUUUCUACCAUAAAUGUCUAAUUUUUAGCAUAUACAUCCUUGAGACAUUUUUCAUACUUUGAUAACUUUUCAAAUUAAUCCCUCAAAUAGAGAGAUUAAGUUAUCCCUGUUUUAAAAAUAUCAAAAUUACUAAGAAUGGGACAAGAAAACUUACUCAAUUAGGCCAUGAAAGUUUCCUCUCUCUCUCCUAAGGUUUUCAUGUGUUUUUAGGUUGAAAAUGAUGAGAAAAUAAGAUGAUACUUUCUUUUCAACUUUUAAUUAAUUAAGUAUUUUGCAAUUUCCAAUUUAGCAUUUGCCCUUUUUCUAUAUUUCCAUAGAUGAGUCACCAAUAAUCUACAUACUUUUCUUUAAUGGUCUAAUUAUCAUAUGAGGACCUCUAGAUUUGAAUUCCAUAGCUAUUUAAUCCUUAUAACUACUAGAAUUCAACUUUCGUAUUUUAUGUGAUUUAGUCCUUCUCGUAAUUAAACAUUUAAUCGAUAAAAUUUUUGUAUCAAAAUUUUCACAAAACAUGCCUAUUAUAAUACGGACCAUAUAAUGAAAUUAAAACAAAACCUCAUUUUCAGAUCAGAUUUGUGGUCCUGAAAUCACUAUUCUGAUUUCACUGAAAAAUCGGUUGUUACAUAAUGUUUUUCAACUUUCAACCAAAUGACAUUCUCCGCUAUUCUUGUACCAUGAACUACUUCGAGUGUGGACUCAAACAAUUGUAUCAAAACACAGAACUAGAAAAAAUUUUCCUUUUGGGGUGAAAACAGAAAUUCUCUCUUCUUUAAUAGAAACUGUUAAAAUUGGUAUUUUGAAAAAAUAUGUUUAUAAGUUGAGAAUAAAUUCUCUCUAUUUUUCGUCAAAAUAAAAAUCUCUCAAAAGUAUUAGUAAUAGUUCUACUAGUGUCAUCUAUUUAUAGGAGGAGAACGUAAAACCCUUAUAGAGUGUAGAGGUUUAUUUUAAUUAGAAAAAACAUCCUACUUGGAGUAGGAGAGGGGUGAAUGACUCACCCUUAUGUUUCUACUAGGGUUGCCACCCUCUUUAUGUUAUAUGAGGGGUUUUGGGUCUCUUUCACAUUGAGUCCAAACCCUAAUAAAAUUUUGACAAUUUUACCCUUUGAUAAAAUUUGAAUGACUUUACCCUCAAUAAGAUUUCAAGAAAAUUCAUUCAAUAUGUCACAACUCAACAUGUUCACUAUGAUCGAAUGAUUUAUUUUCAUUUUCGAGCUUCAAAAUAGUCUUAAAAUAUAAACUCAUUCUUUCAUCAUUUUUAAGUAAUCUUAUAUAAGAUUGCAAGUUUCCAUUUCCAUUUUUGGAAACUUACAUUCAUUUCCAAAUGAUUUUAUUUUUCAAUUUUGGAGAAAACCAUAAUUAUUCAUAAAUGUUUUCCAUUUCUCUUUAUUUAUUUAUUUCGUUCAUUUCUAUUUAAAACACGCAAUUCAUUUUUGGUUUCAACAAGCUAGCGGAGAGACCAUUUGAACAUAUGUAGUUAAGGCUCAAAUGACUUAUAAUUAAGUUCCAUCUUUUUGCCUAUUAAUUAUAAUCUCAUUUAGUCACGAAGUCAUUCCACUAUAGUAUUGUAACUGAGCUAUCCCCAACGACAUAUCAUUACCGAAAGUAACUACUCAGUGCUUGUCCAAUGAUCUUGUCAUUAGUGUUACCCUCAUAGGAUAUCAUUGAUCUCUUUAAGAUAAUAUUUGUUCUUUCAAUAUGAUCAUACUUUAUCUCACGGUAACCAUUACAUCUUCCUUCAUGAAAAGUCAAUCACUAUCAAAUAGUGAUUAAGUCAUCCAUCAUAAAGACGGACGACCCAUGGCACGUGGCCACAUUUACUUUUCAUCAAUCAUGUAAUGCCAAUGAGAGGUUAUAAUUUACUUAUGAGCUAUGAAUUCCACUGUUGUGAAUGGCACUAUAUACUAUAGAAGUUGUACACCCAACGCACCAGCUUUCAUUUUCUUAUCUAUUUGAACUUCGGCUUUUACUUACAUUAAAGUGUAAAAGUCACACAUACAUAGUCUGUCAUACACUCAAGAUUUAGGUAUGUUACACUAUAAAUGUCACAAGUGAAUAAAUCCAUAAAUAGAUUCAGGAUAUAUUUUACUUGGGUCAUGUCUAAUGUAUUAUCAGUUUAGUCAGUUACAUCUAUGUAUCUAUCUUCUGGGAGUCAUCCGCUCCGAUGCCCAAUACAAGGCAUCUGCUCAAUUGGACUUAAUAAGUGACAUAUUAGUAUUUCAAUCGGUUUGCUGGGACAUGUUUAGGUUCGUCUACUAAUAUAAGUUGUAUUUUCGUACUACAAUCUGACCACGUAAUACCGCUUAGUAUUACUUAAAUAUUAGACAACUAAUAGGCAACAUUUACUUUCAUUUUGCUUUGCGUGCAAAAACCAUGUGAGAAUAAUAUACAAAGCAUUAAUGUAAUUUAUGAAUAAUUUUUUAUUAAUUAACAUAUUCAAAAAAAUUAUAAGUGUACUUAGACGAAAAUAAUACACUCAGGGGACCAGGUCCAACAAUUUCAUCAACCAAUUAUCAAUUUGUAUGCAUAACAUUAUAAUUCAUCUUAUCAUAAAGCCAAUUUUGCAAUUACAACAUUAUAUGAUAUGUGCAAAUCUAUUCAAUUUAGUCCUCUAUCUCGAAAAUCAAACAUAAUAGUAUCAAUUUAAUUCAAUUAAACUAAUCAAUCUUAGAUUGCAAUUCAUUAUAUUCAAUUUAUCAGUCAAUUUGUCAUUUCGUCAUUAUUUAAUCCAUAUCUCACCUUUUUGUACCAAAUCGUAAAUAAUCAAAAUUUUAAUUAAAGAUAUUUACAAUUAUAAUUUUAAAUACAUAAAAAUUUAACACAAAUAUACCAUAUGGACUUACUUGGUCAAAACAAAAAAUGAUAAAUUCUUUAAUGACUAAUCAUCAAAUUUGCCUUUUCCCCGAUUAAUUUCGAUUUGGUCUAAUUCCUAAUUUAUACAAUUAUUCAGUUCAAUUUAUCAAUUCCAAGCCUUAUAUUUCAUCCAAUUAUAAUCAUAUAUCAACUCAAUUUCAUUUUAUGAAUGCUCUCUAAAGUUUUUCAGUUUAUUCAAUUUAGUCCUUAAAACCGAAAUAGUUAACUUUCAAAUUUGAGCCUCGAUUUCAAAACCGAUCUUAAUUUAAUCCUUAUAAAGCCCACUACUAUCCAUAAUUAUAGAAAUUUCAUACCAAUUUUGAAAUGUUUACACUUUAGUUCCUAUGUUCAAAAUUAACAAGUUUCACUUUACAAAUUAAUCUUUUUUUCAUAUCCAAGUUUAAAAUCUAACCAAAUAACACCAAAAGCUUCAAUUCAAAAGCUUUAAUAUUCAAAUAUUUUCAAAAAUUAACAUGCGGUCAUUUAGAUUAGGCUCCUAAAAUUUAAAAAACAUAAAAAUUACAAAAAAAAAACUAAAUUUAACUCAAAAAAUUGUUUUAAAAACCAAAACCCUUCACUGAAAUUUCUUUGUUUCCUUUAACGGCGGUUCGGUGUUUGGGGGAAGAUGAAUAGAAAUGUUCUCUCUCUCCACUAAACAUAACAUAUACCUUAUUUUAAUUUUAAUUUAAUUAUAAAAAAGUCUACUUUGUUAGCACGAGUUAGGGUUUCUUAGUUUGCUUUGUAGCACGAUUCAAUUUUAGGGUUCGAACAGGAUUAAUUGAUCAAAGGGAUUUGGAUCUCUUUUCCAAAAGCGGCGGUAUGGCUAGGGAUAAUACAUUAGAUGAAGGAUUCGCUAAUCUCGACAUCACGGAUGAUGAGGAAGAUCCUUUGGAGAUGAUGGGUGAUAAAGUCGACACAGGGUAUUUAUAUGAUUUAUGAUUGGUAGGGAGAGUCCUUACGGAUAGCGUGGUGCACUUUUCGACUUUAAAAAAUACAUUAGCAGAUCUAUGGCAUCCAUUGAGGGGGGUAUUAAUAAUGGAGUUGGAGGAUAAGCGGAUUUUGUUUAGGUUCUAUUGCGAAUUAGACAUACAGAAGGUUUUGGAUGGUCUGCCAUGGUUCUUUAAUCGACAUCUGAUUAUUUUUCAUUUAUUAGUACGGGGUGAGGAACCCAGUUUAAUUCCUCUUUGGGAAACAGUAUUUUGGGUACAUAUCCAUAAUCUACCAAGCGGAUUCAUGUUGGAAGGGAUGGCUCGCCAAAUUGGGGACUUUAUUAGGAAAUUUUUGGAAUAUGAUGCAUCUUUGGUGUUGAGAGGGAUUGGUAAAUAUAUGUGAUUACGAGUCUCUAUGGAUGUACAGUUUCCGUUUAAGAGAAAGAAAAUAAUAAGCAUUAACCAGAGCCAAUUCACAUAUGUUUUUUCAAUACGAAAGAUUACCGCUAUUUUGCUUCCUUUAUGGUUGCCUUGGACAUGGGGAAAACUACUAUCAGGUUCGGUUAACAUUACGCAAUCAACAGGUGGAGUUUGGAUGGGAUAGUUCAUUAAAGGCAGCUCCAAGAAGGAGAGGACAGGCGGUGAGUAAAUGGCUAAGGGAGGAGAAUGAGGCUGAAAAGUGGGUUCGUAUGGAUAUUGAUGGGGAAAGAAGGGAAAGGGUAUUUGGUGUGGAUGUAACAAACAGGAGUAUUUAUAAAGAAUGGAUGGGGUCUUUGGGACACUUUAACCGAAAGCCUAGCUAGCAAAGGAUAAAGGACUAAUUGGCAUGUCGAAACAAGACAUGAGAGUGGGAGAGGAUGUAAAGUUAGAAGAUUUAACGGUAGAGUUUGUUAAUGGUAAGAAGAGGCAGAGAUUUCACUCAGAUGGGGGGAGUGGUCUAAUGGAGGUGGGUUCGGAAACUAUGAUAUCGGCAACCAACAACAAGUUGGUUGACCGGGCAUAAUGAAAAUUUUAAGUUGGAAUGUUCGUGGGUUGGGGCACCCAUGGACAGUUGACGUCUCAAAAGUAAGUUGAGAUAAGUUAAGCCUCAUAUUUUGUUUCUUAUAGAAAUAAAAGUAUCGACUAGGAAGAUGGAGACAAUAAGAAGGAAAUGUGGAUUCGUUCAUGAGAUUGAUGUAGAUGCGGUAGGAACGAGUAGAGGAUUAUCAUUAGGAUGGAAAGAAGGUUUGAAUUUAAAUCUAAGGAGUUUUUCAAAGUCUCAUAUCGAUGUGGAGGUGGAAGAAGAAGCUGAGACGGUUGUUUGGAGAAUAACGGGUUUUACGAAUAACUAGUGGAACAGAAUAGGAGCGAGUCGUAAGAUCUGUUGAGAUAUUUGAAGAGAGGCAAUAGUAAGCCAUGGUUAAUUAUCGGAGACUUUAAUGAAAUUCUAUUCUCGUACGAGAAACAAAGGGGUAGAGUUAGAGAGGAAAGACAAAUGAGUGCGUUCAGAGAAGUUUUAGAAGAGUGUGAGAUGAAUGAUUUAAGGUUUUCUAGAUAAUGGUUCACUUGGGAAAGGGGAAGGUUACUUAGUAACAAUAUUAGGGAAAGGUUGGAUAGAGGGGUGGCGAAUCCAGAAUAGUGGAAUCUUUUUCCAGGGUAUAGGGUGAGUCAUCUACAACAUAGUUUUUCUGAUCAUUGCCCGGUUAUGGUUGAUACAGAAGGGGACAGAAGGUCGCGCGUUGGGGAACAACAAUGGCAAUUUAGAUUCAAUGUUGAUUGGAUAUUGCAAUCGGGCUUUAAGGAGCGAUUAAGAUCUGAAUGGAGCUCAAAUCAACAAGAUUUUUUGGUAAAAUUGAAGGAGGUGGGGAUGAGGUUAAGUGCCUGGGCAGCUAAGGAGAAAAAGGGCAGAGAACGUCGAACGACGGAGUUAAAUGCUAAGUUAAUGAAAUUGAAUGCAGGCGAGAUAAGUGAUGACGCGUUAGAAGAGAUUACAGCGAUAAAACUAGAUCUGAACUUAGAAGCCAAUAAAGAGGAGAUAUUUUGGGAACAGAGAGCCAGAGUCAAUUGGCUUCAAAUAGGUGAUAGAAUUACGUCGUUCUUCCAUAGAAGUGCUUCAAACCGAAAGAAGAGGAAUGUGAUUAAGGGGUUGGUAAAUAGUUCUGGGACUUGGGUGACGAAUUUUGAAGAAGUUUCAAAAACAGCAACAAAUUAUUUUAAAGAUUUAUUUUCGUCAACUAGAGCUGGAGAUUGUGAUUGUUUAUUAGGGUCAUUCAUUCCAUGCAUUACGGAGGAUCUUAACAGGGACUUAAUGGUGGAGUUUAAAGCAGAAGAGAUUGUAGAGGAGAUAAAAUCUAUUAGACCUCUUAAAGCAUCAGGAAAGGAUGGAUAUCCGGCGUUAUUUUACCAGAAAUAUUGGCAUAUUAUUGGGGGUGAUGUCAUUAUGUUCUGCUUGGAUGUACUGAAUGGACGAAGAGAUGUGGGAGAAAUUAACAAAACGAGCAUUGUUCUUAUUCCUAAAAUGAAUUCACCAACUUCAAUGAGUCAAUUUCGACCCAUCAGCUUGUGUAAUGUUAUUUACAAAAUUGUUUUGAAAGUGCUAGUUCAUAGAUUCCGACGAGUUUUGCACUAUUGUAUUGAAGAUACACAAUGGGCAUUUGUUCUUGGGAGGAAUGUCACUGACAACAUUCUUGUAGCUUACGAAAUUCUGCAUUCAUUCAAGAAACAUAAAGGGUCAUCGAAGAAAAGCUUUGCUUUAAAGCUGGAUAUGAGCAAGGCGUACGACCAAGUUAAAUGGGGUUUUUUAGGAAAAAUGAUACGAAGUAUGGGAUUCUGUGAAUAAUGGAUUGCUUUGAUUAUAAAGUGCAUAUCCAGUGUAGUGUAUACUGUGGUGAUCAAUGGAAGAUAUGGAGAGGAGUUUAAGUCUCAUAGAGGUUUAAGACAAGGAGAUCUGCUUAGCCCGUAUUUGUUCUUCAUUUGCCCCGAAGGUUUUCCACGAUUACUUACACUAGCGAAAAAAAGAGGGCGAAUUUUGGCAACAAAGGUGGGAAGAGGUAACGUUUCGGUAUCCCAUUUAUUUUUUUCUGAUGACAGUAUGUUAUUUGGAGAACAUCCACUUAAAGAGCAUUUAAUAUGAAAAGUGUGAUUAUGGAAUAUAAAAGAAUGUCGGGGCAAUUGGUCAACUUUGAGAAAUCUCUUAUCUAUUUCAGUGGCAAUAUUGGCGUUGACGUAAAAAAUCAAGUGGGUAGUAUUUUGGGGUUAAGGAUUUCUAAUAACCUAGAACGGUAUUUGGGGCUUCCAACCAUGGUAGGACGUCGAAAAAACAUACUUUUAUCGACAUUAAAGAACGUUUUGCUAAGUUGCUGAAUAACUGGAGCAUGCGAGUCUUGUCGACAGGGGGUAAGGAGGUAUUUUUAAAAUCAAUUUUACAGGCGAUACCGAUUUAUGCAAUGCAAUGUUUUAAAUUACCAUUGUGCUUCUGUCAAGAGCUAGAGAGUAUAAUGAACAAAUUUUGGUGGCGUAGUUCGAAGACAAACAAAGGAAUACAUUAGUGUAAAUGGCGUGAUAUAUGUAUCCCCAAAGCGCAGGGAGGUACGGGCUUUAAAGACUUAUCUAAGUUCAACUUGGCGUUAUUAGCAAAACAGGGAUGGAAAAUUAUUAUGCAGCCAAAUUGUUUGUUUGCUCAUUAAUGAAAGUAAAAUAUUUCCAAAAAAGGGAUUUUAUGAGUGCGAGAUUAGGCUCUUACCCUUCAUAUACCUGGAGAAGUAUUUGGGGUGCUCGACAUCUCCUCGAGGAGGGACUUGGUUGGCGAAUUGGGAAUGGUGAGGCAGUGAACAUAUGGAAUGAUGCAUGGCUACCAGGACCUGGAUACGGGAGAGUUCAAGGUUAGAAUAUUGACAUUAGGUAUACAAAAGUAGCACACUUAAUCGACAAAGAAACUAUUACCUAAAAGCAAGAUACAAUUCGAGAAUUAUUCAAAGAAGAACAGCUUGCAAAAAUAUUGUGAAUCCCAUUGGUGUGUAGUGAACCAAAGGAUGUCUUAAUUUGGAGGGGUGACAACACAGGGGUGUAUACAGUGAAAAGUGGAUAUAAGUGGCAAAUUACAACAGAGGGACCUCAUGUUCAAACUGAUUCUUCGGAUACAAUUUUUACAAAACUGUGGAGGCUCCAAGUACCAAGUAAAAUAAAAAUACACAUGUGGCGAAUAGCUAAGAAUUACAUCCCUACUUUAUACAAUCUAAGAAGUCGUAAUUUAGUUACUACUCCAAUCUGCCCGGUUUGUUAAGCAGUCGAGGAAACGAUUUGUCACCUGUUCAGAGAUUGCCAUUUCACACAGCAGGUUUUACAGGGAUUGGGGGCAUCAGUUUUACCAUGCAAUGAAGAAACAGAUUGGAAGAUGUGGUUAGCAAUAGAGUUCAAUAAUUUAAACAUUGAAGCAUGCAGAAUCAGAGCUAUUGCUUAUUGGGCUAUAUGGUAUAACAGAAAUAAGAUUUACCAUGAGGGGAUUCGUGAACAAGCUCAUGAGGUAGUUGGAUUUGUUAAAGCUUAUUGCACAGAAAUAAACACACUGGGGGUGGUGUUAAGGCAAGUACAGGUAAUGGAUAGUUUUAAAUGGAAACCUCUAGAGAAUAACACUAUUAAAGUAAACUUUGACGCUUCAUUCAACUAUCAUACAAGAAAAUCGUGUUCAGGUGUUAUAGCGAGAAAUAAUGAAGGUCUGGUGAUGGCAGCAUGUACCUUUCCGUGGGAAGACGUCUCAGAUCCGGUUAUGGCCGAGGCAAAGGCGUGCUUACAAGCCAUUACUAUGGCUGAGGAAAUGGGUUUUCAAGAUAUUUGCAUUGAAGGAGAUGCGCUAACUGUAAUCCAAAAGAUUAACUCUGCAGGGGAAGAUAAAUCUGAAAUAAGCUGUCUGAUUAGAGAAAUUAAGGAAAGAACAUCUAGAUUCAGAAGAGUGAGCGUUAGGUACAUAUCCAGGGAAGCUAAUAAGGUGGCCCACGGGAUGGCGAUGGAAGGACGGUGAUAUGAAAACCCCCUAUACUGGAUAAAGGAAGUUCCGCAUGCGGUGGAAGGGUUGGUGGAUGAAAAAAUGAGAGGUUGCGGAGAGUGUGAAGAGGUGGAGAGUUAGAGUCCGGACUUUGCGCAAUAUUUUGGUCCGAUGAACUCGCGAUUCCGAUCGAGAAGAAGACGUCAAUAGCUUUGAUUCUAGGCGAUAAUCGAUCUAUGUGAGUAACUGAUACAGAGGAGAUGUGGGGUUUAACGCUAGGGAAGAUGAGCUUUCAAGUCUGAUUUGAUUAGAUUAGUCGUUUCAUUUCAGUUCUUUUGUGGUCAAGAAUGAGUUUCCUUUCUUUUAUGUUUUUUUUUUAGGUUUUUUUAUUUUAUUGUUUUAUUUUGUUUUAAUUUUACGUUAUUAAAUGCACCGAUUCGGUGCCUUAUAGAAAACAAACAAAUGUUGGGUAGUCCUUAUAAGCCUGAGAUGUUUAUGAAUUUUCCCAUUAAUACAAGUAUCAGUUAUAAUUUCA
rnacentral:lncRNA from 1 species